GACGAACGCUGGCGGCGUGCCUAAUACAUGCAAGUCGAACGCAGUGGGGACGGGUGAGUAACACGUGGGUAACCUCCCAUCAGAGGGGAUAACACUUGGAAACAGGUGCUAAACCGAUACUGAUGGAUGGACCCGCGGGCCAUUCGCUAGUUGGUGAGGUAACGGCUUACCAAGGCCACGAGGCAUAGCCGACCGGAGGGGGUGAGCGGCCACACUGUGACUGAGACACGGCCCAGACGCCUACGGGAGGCAGCAGUAGGGAAUCUGGGGCAAUGGGCGAAAGUCUGACCGUGCAACGCCGCGUGAGUGAAGAAGGUUUUCGGAUCGUAAGGCUCUGUUGUUAGUGAGGCGGUAUCUAACCAGAAAGCCACGGCUAACUACGUGCCAGCAGCCGCGGUAAUUC
rnacentral:rRNA from 1 species